rnacentral:rRNA from 1 species
UUCCCCUAGUAACUGCGAGUGAAGCGGGAAAAGCUCAAAUUUAAAAUCUGGCGGUUUCACCGUCCGAGUUGUAAUCUAGAGAAGUGCUAUCCGCGUUGGACCGUGUACAAGUCUCCUGGAAUGGAGCGUCAUAGAGGGUGAGAAUCCCGUCUUUGACACGGACUACCAAGGCUUUGUGAUACGCUCUCAAAGAGUCGAGUUGUUUGGGAAUGCAGCUCAAAAUGGGUGGUAAAUUCCAUCUAAAGCUAAAUAUUGGCGAGAGACCGAUAGCGAACAAGUACCGUGAGGGAAAGAUGAAAAGAACUUUGGAAAGAGAGUUAAACAGUACGUGAAAUUGCUGAAAGGGAAACGCUUGAAGUCAGUCGCGUUGGCCGGGGAUCAGCCUUGCUUUUGCUUGGUGUACUUCCUGGUUGAUGGGUCAGCAUCAAUUUUGACCGUUGGAUAAAGUCCAAGGGAAUGUGGCAUCUUCGGAUGUGUUAUAGCCUUUGGUCGCAUACAACGGUUGGGAUUGAGGAACUCAGCACGCCGAAAGGCCGGGUUUUCAACCACGUACGUGCUUAGGAUGCUGGCAUAAUGGCUUUAAUCGACCCGUCUUGAAACACGGACCAAGGAGUCUAACAUGCCUGCGAGUGUUUGGGUGGAAAACCCGAGCGCGUAAUGAAAGUGAAAGUUGAGAUCCCUGUCGUGGGGAGCAUCGACGCCCGGACCAGACCUUUUGUGACGGAUCCGCGGUAGAGCAUGUAUGUUGGGACCCGAAAGAUGGUGAACUAUGCCUGAAUAGGGUGAAGCCAGAGGAAACUCUGGUGGAGGCUCGUAGCGA